AAAAUGGUUUUUAAAUUUGUAUUUCUCCAGGAAACUUCCUGGGUUCUCCCAUCAGUUGCUUCCCAGAGUCCCUUGAGAUUUGUCACUUGUGAUCGUUGGCUUUUUCUCUGGCCUUCCGGAGCUAAGGCAGUAUGGGAUAGGAUACGUAGUUUCACUAGGAAGGAGUCUUGAGUCAAAAUGAACCUGGAGGUGACUAAGGAAGCAUCAUAGUUGUUGAGCUCAGCCAGAGUCAGGGCCUUGCCUGAACAUCCCUGUCAUGGGUGAGAGGAGGUUAUGUCACCAACAUAAGCUGUCACCUCACCCCUGUAACCAUCGUUCUUCCAUUCACCCUCCCACUUGGCUAAGUAGCUGCCAUGUUGAUGAGAUCACUGCAUUUUGUGUGGACGGCAUCACACUCCCACCACCUGUCCUGAUGCAUGCACAAAAUGGAACUCUUGAGGCCCAAGUCCUCUGUGCUGCUCCCAGGGGCCUUGGCACCGAAGAGUGUCCCGGGCAGCCUGGCCAAUCCGAGGACUCUUGGAUUGGGCCCCUUCUUUCCUGGGCGGGGUGGGCAGAGUGAGGACAUGUUAGUGGUGGUGCUGGUGGAGCAUGUGUGUUCUCUUUCUAAGCAGAGCCUGAAGGGCAGGCUACGGUGGUGACUCUGCCCUGAUCAGUUGCAGGCCCAGGGCGUACUGUCUGGCGGACAGCGAUGAGGAGUCCUCCAGUGCUGGCUCCUCUGAGGAGGAUGAUGCUCCAGAGCCCAGCGCCGGAGACAAACCACCUCUCCCGGGGGCCGAAGGGUAUGUUGGAGGUCAUCGAACGAGUAAGAUUAUGAGGUUUGUCGAUAAAAUUACCAAGUCAAAAUACUUCCAAAAAGCAACAGAGACAGAGUUCAUUAAAAAGAAGAUUGAAGAAGUCUCCAAUACACCCCUGCUGCUGACCGUAGAAGUACAAGAAUGCCGAGGAACCCUGGCGGUCAACAUUCCACCCCCUCCGACUGACCGAAUAUGGUAUGGUUUCCGGAAGCCACCAUAUGUAGAGCUGAAAGCUCGGCCAAAACUUGGAGAAAGAGAAGUGACUUUAGUUCAUGUGACAGACUGGAUAGAGAAGAAACUGGAACAAGAGUUUCAGGUAAAUGUGUGGUGUCACCUGGUGUGCGUUUCACCCGAGUCUCAAAGCUCAGGGCAGAACAGAGGUUCUGAAGUGCAUCUGGGUCAGGAUCCUCUUUUGAGAACCUAAUGAAAGCUAUGGGCCCUCAUUCCAGGAAAGUACCCAUCAUGAUCAAACAGGCCUAACGCUUUAGGUACAGUUUGAGAAACCCUGAACCUUAUCCACAGAACCCUGUAAAGUAAGUAGUUCAGAGGAAGCCCCAAAGGUGCGUUCACUAGGCCAGAGCUCAUUCUCCAAGCCUGUCCUUCUGCUUUCUGUCCCCAAAGCUAAUAGCAGUGUAGCCGAGGCCCCGGGAUGAACCAUCAGAUAUUCGAGGCACAGAUGUCUUCCAAGGUGUUAUGGAUUGGCAAACAAUUUACUUCGUAAAUGAGUUUCACCUUUUGAAGGAGACCUCCUAUUUUUGCAGUGGUAUAUUUUGAGCUCGUCUUUAAAAUUUUAUAUUUGUAUUUAAAAGCUAUGGAUUAACAUUAACUGAAAACCAGUUGCUGGAAAGCUUAGUAAUAGCACCAAGUGAAAAAGUACUUUGAACCCAGUGAGGGGAAAGACAACCUUUAGUUUUUUCCUUUUCCCUAGAUCCUACAAUAGGCAUUAGAGUGGGUCAUCUCUUUCAGGGAUAUUGGGGUACAAGGAGCACAAAGAAAGGACGAGGGGGCAGAGGUUGGCAUCUGGUUUUGUUUUGUUUUUUUAAGAUGUAUUUAUUUUAGAGAGUGUGGGGAGGGGUAGAGGGAGAGGGAGAGAAUCUCAAGCAGACUCCCUCCAGAGUGUGAAGCCCGUCGCAAAGACCUCGGCUCAGUCUCACAAUCCUGAGAUCAUGACCGGAGUCGAAAUCAAGAGUUGGACACUCAGUUGACUGAGCCACCCAGGCACCCUGGCACCUGGUAUUUUUGAGGCAAGUUGGGAAGUUGAUGGGUAAUUGCUACAACCUCCCAUAGCCACCUUUUUUUGCUUUUGUGUAUGCUUUUGUAAGAGGGCAUUACUGGAGACUGAAUGCAUUGCCAAAAUUCACGUGCGUAAAAUUAGUUUAUAAACAGGAUAGGCAAAGCACCAUUACUAUCAAUCACCGAUUAUUCUUUGUGCGUUCAUUAUAGUAGGACUUCUUUCAUACAUAGCUUUGUCUGGUUCUGGGUGAAAAAAAUUAGCUUACAUUUUGUUGCUAAGAUUUAACUGGAUAAAUUCACUUGGAAUUUGUGUUCUGGACAUAGCAAUUUGGAAAUACUAUGAGCCCGUGAAGCCAGUUCUCUUUAAGUAAUGGUAUUGAAUAUUUAUGGAUUCAUGAGUAGUUUUAUCGUAUGUACAUGAAAUCAAAGGCUGCUUCCACCCCAGAGCUGACUUACCGGGUUCUUCUGUUCAUGUGCUGAUGUGAUUCAACUCUUUUUUAAGUGUGGCAGAGGAACUAGUUUAGAAUAUGCACAAAAAGUUGUUUCAUAUGUACUUUUAAAACUUCUCCAGGGGCGCCUGGG